CAUAGUUGAGGCAAAAUCAUAGAAUAAAAAGAACAAGGUAAAAAGAACCCCGUGGAUACUAACAUUGUCAUCAUGGAAAAUGAGGUAACAUCUUUUGAAAGGUCGUGUAAAAGGAGCCGACACAGAUAGACCGGUUGUGCCUUGCUCUUUCGGUAGCACCUCUUAUUAUAGACUUUGUGAUAUGGGUUCCUCUACUAAAGUGAUACCUUAUACUCUUUAUGCUAAGCUUCGUGAUGAAAUAUAUUCUUGUGAUCUACAAACCACAUACAUGGAAAUAUAAUUAGUAGAUGGUACUCCUAAAAAACCUUAUGGUAUAGUUUGUGAUGUUUAGGUUAUCAUAGGAACAUCUACUUACCAUGCGGACUUUGUUGUCAUUGAAAUAACUGAAGAUGAUAUUUGCCCUAUAUUUUUGGAAGACCUUUUAUUAAUAUUGUCACAAUAAGACCCCAUCGACAAAUUCCACUUUUCUAGACUAACUUUUGUGUUGGAUUCCUUUUUAUGGUAAAAACACAUUGACAACCCGAAACUAAAUGAAUACAAUGCGCAAAUGUGGUACACCACAUGACUAAAGUGUAAAUCAUCUAUUUUGUGUUGCAUACAUCAUGAAAAAACAAU
rnacentral:lncRNA from 1 species